AUGAACUUAGCUUGCUAAGGCCGAUGGCGACCGGCGCACGGGUGAGUAACGCGUAUCCAACCUGCCUUACACUCUUGGACAGCCUUCUGAAAGGAAGAUUAAUACAAGAUGGCAUCAUGAGUCCGCAUGUUCACAUGAUUAAAGGUAUUCCGGUAGACGAUGGGGAUGCGUUCCAUUAGAUAGUAGGCGGGGUAACGGCCCACCAAGGCAACGAUGGGUAGGGGUUCUGAGAGGAAGGUCCCCACAUUGGGACUGAGAUACGGCCCAGACUCC
rnacentral:rRNA from 1 species